rnacentral:rRNA from 1 species
CGAAGGGUGCAAGCGUUAAUCGGGAAUUACUGGGCGUAAAGACGCGCGUAGGUGGUUCAGCAAGUUGGAUGUGAAAUCCCCGGGCCGUCAACCUGGGAACGUGCAUCCAAAACUAACUGAGCUAGAGUACGGUAGAGGGUGGUGGAAUUUCCUGUGUAGCGGUGAAAUAGCGUAGAUAUAGGAAGGAACACCAGUGGCGAAGGCGACCACCUGGACUGAUACUGACACUGAGGUGCGAAAGCGUGGGGAGGCAAACAGGAUU